CCAAUAAUUAUGUCUAUGAAUAUGUAAUCAUAUGUACAUUUGAUAUUCAUAACUUGUACUAAAUUUUUCCGUUUCUUUUAAUAUCAUCUAAGUUGGAGAAAUCUGUGUAAUUCAAGGAAAAUGAAGCUUCUACAUCUGUUAGUUAUAACGAUCACAGCACAUGCAAUACAUGCUGACCCUGUCAUUGAAUAUUGCUGGACAGAGUUUAAAGGAAAAUAUGAAUAUAUUCAGUUUGGAAGAGAGUUAUGGUUGGAUCCAUGUUAUUUUUGUUGGUGCUAUGAAGGCGGAAACCCAGAGGACCGUCCAACAAGAGCCGGAUGCAAUACGGUAGAUUGUCCAUUCAUAGAAUGUCCUUCUGGAACUGAAUUACAACCAAUCAAGAACAAAUGUUGCCUCGAGUGCAUGGCUAUUUAGUGUCAAGUUAAAGAAUCUCUUUAAUAUUGAAACCUUAAAGAGUUGUUAAAGUUAAUAUGUUUGAAUAAAAAGUGUAUAGUUAUCAUA